AUGACUCGAUGCACUGACUGCCCACGGACUGCGCCACUGAAGCAGUUGACUUCGAAGGAGGAGAAGAAUGGGAACUUUGGGCGCGAGUUCGUCAAAUGUGAGAGCAAGCUGGAGGGGCAGAUCGUGAAGAAAUGCCACCAUUUCGAGUGGUUGGAUGAUUACAUCCAGAUGCUUCAAGGGUUGGGCUUGCUGGAUUAG
rnacentral:rRNA from 1 species